rnacentral:tRNA from 1 species
GGCGCAUUCGUCCAGCGGCCCAGGACGCCGGCCUCUCACGCCGGAAACAGGGGUUCGAGUCCCCUAUGCGCUA